rnacentral:lncRNA from 1 species
GCCCUCCCCCCCCGGGGGACAGAAGGCCGCUCACCUGCCCACGAGUGGGUCCUGAGACCACCGGGAUGGGGCUUGGGCCCAACAGGCUGCAGAAGUCAGGCUGGAGGCCCUGAUGGCGGAUGCUGGGCGGAGACCCGCCAGGCUCAGGAGCCCGCCUCCGCCAGAGGCCCCUGGAGACGGCCCGGGUGGGCCGGGCUGCUGACCAGGCCAGGAGAGGUCCAGUCACAACUGUCGAGUACCCGGAACGAGAGGGCAAGUGCCCAGGGUGCGCUCUCACGCCUCCCGUCUGCACCCGGCCCCGUGAGGGUCAGAGCCUGUGGCCGGUCACACACAGGCCCCGCGUGAGUCACCGGGUGGGCACAGCUGGAGACCCCCUGGACACUUCCAAGGGGGCAGCCUCUGGCCCCGGCCCCUCAGACCAACCGGGAGACAGACAGAGGAGCCCCAGGGCCAACCUCCCAGGGCCUCUGGCCUCGGGCCUCUGACUGGCCACUUGCCCUGUGGGCAGCCCAGUGCCUUUCACAAAGUGCCCACAAGCUGGGGAUUUCCCACCACUCGACAUGAGACUUUAGGGAGAAAAAGUUUCUUGGUGCCACUAACUGAAGCCCAGCGAAUUCCUGGAACACAUGCCUUCAGCCUUAUCCAGUGUGAGCAGCUGCCGGUUGGACCCCCGGGCCUGGAGACGAGGAUGGGAGCCCGGCAUUCACUGUGUCCCCUCGAGCUUGCUGCCUGGGCAUCUUUCCUGCGCACCCACCAGCCCCCUGGGGAGCCCGCCUGAGUGAGACACCUCAGCGCUUCUUGCUGCCUCUUCCCGGGGCCGCCCUACGCCGAGCACAGAGAAGCCAGUGUCCACGCACCACCCCCGCCGCUCCAGCCUCCCGUUGCUGUGCCUGCCCCAGAGCCCACGGCCUCUGCAGACCUGGGGGCGUCACUGGGACUGAACACAAACAGGGCAGCCCUCCCAGGGCGGUGCCUCCUCUGAAGCCCCUUUAUGAGAGCCCCCGGGUGCAUUCCCACCAUGAGCGUGACUCCGGGCCUGCCAGGCAGUGUUCCCAGGAGGCCAGCAGGACACAGUCCACACAGACCGUGGAGACACACGGCAGCUUGUGGGUGCCCUGUUUUAUUCACCACCGUGUGGAGAAGGAAAUGGCAACCCACUCCAGUGUUCUCUCCUGGAGAAUCCCACGUACAGGCGAGUCUGGCAGGCUGCAGUCCGUGGGGUCGCUGAGAAUCGGACACAACCGAGCGACUGAGCAACGUGCCCACCCUGCCCACUGCCCCCCGCACUGUGCCCCUCUGGGGCUGCGACUCGGGCGGGGUUCUCUUCAGAACCUCCCCUCCCUCCACACUCAGGAACCCCAACUGCAAAUAGGCUCCAGGUUGCUGAGUCUGCCCUCUCUCCCCGCCCUCCUUGCCCCGGCAACGAAGGUCCAACCAGCCAGGGACAGACUCCUCUUCCUUGGAUCAUUUGUCCUCCUAGGGUGGGAGGGUAGCCACCACCUGGCAGGGAAGAGGCUUGGGAAAGAGACCACCCCCAGGUGCCUUCGCUGCUCCCUGGGUGUCUGUGUCUGAGCCCCAGCCUUGCCGUCCUGGGAGGUGGGUGACGCGACCGCUAUGCGAGCCUGAGCGCCAUCCCUGCUGUGCGGCCCGCUCCAACCUCCCCACCUCCCCAGAGGGCCAAGGCCUCCUCGAGGGCGGACGGGGUGUGCAGUUACUCUGCAGGUGCCCAGCACAGGAGCCAGGCCCCCCGGCCCUGGGGGACAGCGUGUUGCCCAAGCAGCCAGAGUGCUGCAGUGCCCCCUCCCUGCCUGAGGGCCAUCCCUGAGUGUGCCUCCCUGAGUGUGCCUCCCUGAGUGUGCCUGAGUGUGUCCAGUGUCCAGUGCACGGCCAAGCAGAGCUUCCUGCUCCAGGGCACAGAGCGGACGAGGGACUGUGCCCUCCGGCCUGGCGGGGGGUCAGGGUCCCCAGGAGCCCUGAUUGUGAAGAGGGUGCAGCCAAGACCCCCAGGCUCCGCCCUCCCCUCCUCUUGCUCCAGGAUCCUCCUGACUGGAAUGCUGUCCAGUGUAUCCUUCAGCUUCAGGCAGAGGCCACCCCUGCCUCCCUCACUCCUGACCUUUGGGUUUUUUGUUGAGCGGGGCCAGGCAGCAGGAACUUUCAUCUAUUAACUUCAUCCCUAACCCUAACCUGCUACAGCCUCACAGCCCAGAACCAGCCACUGUGGGGACAGAAGGGAGGGGGAGGGGGAAGGAAGAGGCGGGGGAGGGUGGGGAAGGGGGCGGGGAGGGGCGGGGAGGGGCGAGGGGGGAGGGGAGGGAGAAGGGAAGGGGAGGGGGAGAGGGAGGAGGGCAGGGGCGGGGCGGGGGGGUGGGGGGAGGAUGGGCAGCUCACUACAGCUACUUCCUUUCUUGCACAACCCGCUCCCCAAGAACGAUGACUCACUUGGUUUUCUUUGAACCUGCCUUGUCCCCCACAUCCUUUGGUGUCUGAGAAGCGAGCCUUCCGCGGCUCCGGGAGUCAGGCCGCCUCAGCCCCCGCCCCGACCCCUCAGGCCCCGCUCCAGGCUCUGUCCACCGGGACCGGCCCCUUCUCCUGCAGGCGCUCCCCAGUUCCAGGGAUGUGGGGGGCCGUCUCAGAAACCGCCCUGUCGGGCUGAGGGCGGCUCCGCAGCGUUCCCUGCUGCUGUCUGCGCCCGCGCUCCCCUCCAGUCCUCCGGGACGCACCUUAGCUCUGGAAAAGGCUCUCUUCUGUUCCGGACUUCCAUUCCCCACAGCUGGCUCUGUCCUCUAGCUUUUCCUUUCCAGAUGCUCUGCGUCCAUUCUGUGUCAUUUCUGUGACCAGAAGUGGUCCUUUCCUAACGGGUGCGAUGUCUCCGGCCGUCUCUGAGACCGUGGACGUCAGGAGUUCUGAGCUGUCCUCGGGCCCUUGCCCUGCCCUCUUGCAGGUGCCGAGGGGACCGUCCCUCGCUUCUCACAGAGGGAGGCGCUGCUGGGGCGGACAGAGGCUGGGCCUGUUGGGCAGCGCAUACCUGUGGGUGGCGUCUCAGGGGGCGGCUCCUGCUCAAGGGCGGAGGGGCUCCCUGUUCAGGGAGCCCUCAGCCACCCCCUGCCGCUGCCCCCCUGAGCCCCACCAGGCUCUGGGGACACGGACUGCCAGCUUUCCCCUGGAAUUUGCCCUUCCUGGAUUCUGGGGGCAGACGUUUACCUCUCUGUUUCUGUGCGUUGCUGGAAGACAAUUCCAAUGAGACCUCAUUGCUGGAAGCUAGUCUGCACCUCUAUGAACCAGGUGAGGGCCCAGCACAGCCGGGCUGCAUGGGGCCUGGUGGGAGGAGUGGCUGGGUCUGACAGGCCCCCUGUGCACCCACCUCUGCAUGAAUACAGCAGGGCCAGGGCACCCUUCCGCCAAACCCUGGCCUAAGCACCACUUACCACACGACCUUGGCCAAAUUAAGGGUCCUCUCUGAGCCUUCACUUUCUCAUCUAUAAAACAGGUAAGUAUAGACCAACAAAACAGCCCAGAAACAAACCCUCACACUAUAGUCAGGGAUGCUUGACAAGGGUGAUGUCUUUGCUUUUUAAUACACUGUCUAGGUUUGUCACAACUUUCCUGCCAAGAAGCAAGCGUCUUCUAAUUUCAUGCCUGCAGUCACCGUCCACAGCGAUUUUAGAGCCAAGAGGAAGAAACCUGUCACGGCUCCCACCUUUUCCCCUGCUAUUUGUCAUGAAGUGAUGGGGCCGGAUGCCAUGAUCUUACUUUUUUAAAUAUUGAGUUUCAAGUUGGCUUUUUCACAGAUUAUUGAGGAAAUGCAAAUAAAAACCACAAAUAAGAUAUGACCUCACACUUAUUAGGAUGGCUACUGUCAAACAUUGUUCAGUUGCUUCAGGUCAGUUCAGUCCAGUCGCUCAGUCGUGUCCUGCAGCACACCAGGCUUCUCUGUCCAUCACCAACUCCCAGAGUUUACUCAAACUCAU